AUUUUCAUAUCAUGAAAUAAUUAAGAAGAGAAAUAACAGUUUAAUUCAGUAACUGAUAUGAGAGUCAGGUUGAUGGAGUGAAAGGCAUGCUGAGACCGUUUUAGCCGUGGCCACGUUGGGGAUUUGCUGCUGGAGGAUAUAUAUUUUGAGGAGGAAUUUCCCUUGUACUCCGGCCGUGCAUUAGUCUCCCUGUCAUUUCAAGUCUCAUAAAUAUGUGGGUUAGCCUAUUUUUAAUUAGGAUCACGUAGCUAAUUAAUUAAUUUUGAUAGAAAAGUAAAGUGGAUUUGGUAUCAAAUUAAAAAUUUUAACUAACUUAACAAAUAGCUGAAAUUCUUGCAAACCUUCAAUAGCUGAGAAACUUGAAAUUCUUGCUUCUAUCAGCAGAGGCGACAAGAGGAGUAGUAAGCAAGCUACAAGCCGAACCCAGAAACCACCAUUGCUGAGAAGGCAGUGCAUCUUGGGAUUCUUUAAAAUGUGAGUUUAUGAGUUCUUUCACUGGAAUACGUAAA
rnacentral:misc_RNA from 1 species